rnacentral:tRNA from 1 species
GGCCUCGUGGCGCAAUUGGUAGCGCGUCUGACUCCGGAUCAGAAGGUUAGGUCUUCAAAUUACUUCGGGAUCA